GCGGCGUUCGCCGGGGCUUCCCCGGGCUGGAGAGCGCGCCUGAGUGCCGUCGCCCGCCGGUCAUGGGGAGCCGCUUCCUGCGCGACUGCGACAGCGGAGGAGGAUGCUGUCCGCGAGCGGAGUGCUUAGAAGGAUGAAUGA